UAGGGAAUCUUCCGCAAUGGGCGAAAGCUUGACGGAGCAACGCCGCGUGAGUGAUGAAGGUCUUCGGAUCGUAAAACUCUGUUAUUAGGGAAGAACAAAUGUGUAAGUAACUAUGCACGUCUUGACGGUACCUAAUCAGAAAGCCACGGCUAACUACGUGCCAGCAGCCGCGGUAAUAGGUAGGUGGCAAGCGUUAUCCGGAAUUAUUGGGCGUAAAGCGCGCGUAGGCGGUUUUUUAAGUCUGAUGUGAAAGCCCACGGCUCAACCGUGGAGGGUCAUUGGAAACUGGAAAACUUGAGUGCAGAAGAGGAAAGUGGAAUUCCAUGUGUAGCGGUGAAAUGCGCAGAGAUAUGGAGGAACACCAGUGGCGAAGGCGACUUUCUGGUCUGUAACUGACGCUGAUGUGCGAAAGCGUGGGGAUCAAACAGG
rnacentral:rRNA from 1 species